GGAAGCCGCGGCUGCGGCCGCCCGCGAGAGGCGCCGGGCCGGGGUCGGGCGGGCUCUGCCUCCGCCGAACGCAGGCCGGCGCUUCCUGCUCCAGACGGACGGGUGGUGGGACGGGGGUGCUCAGCCUUCCUCCCUGAGGCGGGCUGGCGCUGGCCGUGCGGCCCGGGAGCGCUCCGUGCGCUGCCGCCGCCAGCACGUGUGACAGCCGCGGGGAGCCGGCCUGCUGUGACCUUGGGAAGCGGAGCCACGGCCUCCCCACGCGGGAUAUUGCAAGGAGCAGCGCUGCCUUCUGGGUUUGAGGUUUGGAUUUGCUUUGGAAGUCAGAGAGCAGUUGCUGCCUCAUUCUACCUACAUUCAACUUUUAAUAUAGUAGUAUUAUUGCAAACAGGAAAAAAAGGAGACAAGUAUCUCCACACCUAUCAGGAAACAGGAGACUUUGCUCUGAAAUAACUGAUAAACAAGUGUGAAGCAUGAGGAUCAACUCUGCUGUUCAGGCUGCUAUUGACCUCACAGCAGGUGCUGCAGC